rnacentral:rRNA from 1 species
UAUUUAUUAGAUAAAAAACCAACGCCCUUCGGGGCUCCUUGGUGAAUCAUAAUAACUUAACGAAUCGCAUGGCCUUGCGCCGGCGAUGGUUCAUUCAAAUUUCUGCCCUAUCAACUUUCGAUGGUAGGAUAGUGGCCUACCAUGGUGGCAACGGGUAACGGGGAAUUAGGGUUCGAUUCCGGAGAGGGAGCCUGAGAAACGGCUACCACAUCCAAGGAAGGCAGCAGGCGCGCAAAUUACCCAAUCCCGAUACGGGGAGGUAGUGACAAUAAAUACUGAUACGGGGCUCUUUUGGGUCUCGUAAUUGGAAUGAGAACAAUUUAAAUCCCUUAACGAGGAACAAUUGGAGGGCAAGUCUGGUGCCAGCAGCCGCGGUAAUUCCAGCUCCAAUAGCGUAUAUUAAAGUUGUUGCAGUUAAAAAGCUCGUAGUUGAACCUUGGGUCUGGCUGGCCGGUCCGCCUCACCGCGAGUACUGGUCCGGCUGGACCUUUCCUUCUGGGGAGCCUCAUGGCCUUCACUGGCUGUGGGGGGCACCAGGACUUUUACUGUGAAAAAAUUAGAGUGUUCAAAGCAGGC